CGACAUCUUAAAUAUACUAUAAUUCUUCAUUUUUGUACAUUAUGUAUUAUGUAUAAAAGAAAACUGACACCACUGCUGCUGCCCUGGACAUUGAUGCUCGAGUUCAGGCCCAACUUAACAAUAUAAAACAUGUUGCGCCGCGCAUGUUGCAUGCGGUUAAAUGCAACCUUGCUCGACAGUUGCAGUAUGUUUGAAACGAACUUGUUGCAUGAAGCGAAGUAACGAAACAUGAAACGAUAUAAAGUCACUGUUACACAAAAAUAUCGAUAAAUUGUUGUAGCGAUGAUUUAAGGAAACAUUUUUUUACUGUCCCAUCUCUAGCUGAAGACAACAAAAAUAGCUAAAUGUUAUUUUUCUGAAAGUGCCACCAUAGAUCUGAUGCCAUGUCCCCGGCGUUAGACCUGGGUAACUCUGUAGAGCCGUACCACAACCUGGACAGCGGAAGCGUUGGAAAGGACACCUCACCUUGCACCUCUUCCUCACCAUCGGUCCGUCACGCAAUGGGGCAGGGAACGUCAUGGCUGCGACAAUGUCGGCGGUACAAACUUCUUGCCGUGAUCCUAAUGCUGCUAUUUUUCGUAUCCUGCCUUGCAUAUAGAAUACUUAGUUCUGAGCAGGAUGCUCCGUCCUUGGAUGUGCACCGCAGUUCCCCUCUACUGGAUGCCUAUGAAGACUUUUCUGCUAUGCGAGCCGGAGAUCUUAAAAUGCGCAUAGAGGAGUUAGUUCGAAUAAAGAGUACAGUUUCGGUGGAACUGCGAGAACUGGAGUCCCGACGCCAAAAGCUGCAGUCUGACAUCAGUCAAUACAAUCAAAAAAUCGAGGAGCUUAAACAGGAGCUAUUGCGAGAGCAAACAGAACUAGAGCGCCUUAAAAUCUCAGUGGAGCAAGCCCAGGUGGCUCAGCGGGAAGCAGUGCAACGGAAUACACCCGAUCUAGCCUUGCCGCGCUCUCUAUUGCCAAACACCUUGCCUCGAAGGAUGAGUCCUAUUUCAUGGGGCAUGGCAGCCAGCUGCGAAAUGCACAACUGCUUCAAUCAUUCUCGAUGUAGUUUGACCUCUGGCUUUCCUGUGUACCUGUACGACCCGGAUGAACAUAGCGUGCAAAAACAUGGUUAUGAUAUUGACGGUUUCUUAAAGACCACUAUUAAGCAAACAUUGGGAUACAAUGCGCAUAUUGUAAGAGACCCUAAAAUGGCGUGCAUUUAUUUGGUGCUCGUGGGUGAGGCUCUUCUGGAGCAGGAUUUGUUAAGGAACAAUCGGUACGCGGCACAGGAAGCCGAGCAGCAGGUUCCCUCCACUCCGGGUCAAGCAGACGAAUGCCCUGUGGAUAUGGAAAAAUUAUAUCGGUUGCCAUACUGGGGCGGCGAUGGACGAAACCAUGUACUGCUAAACCUUGCUCGGAGGGACCUCUCUUCACGACGCACAAAUCCGCUUCACAAGCAAAACACCAUGCGCGCCAUUGUCGUGCAGAGUGCAUUCGAACGGGAACAAUUCAGACCUGGCUAUGAUAUCAUUGUGCCGCCAAUAUUAGGUCCCCCAGGUGGAGAUGUUUGGCAGGAGUGUGCUGGGAUGGUUCCAGCUAGGCGGAAGUACCUGCUUACAUUCCAGGGUGAGUUAAGACCAAAGCAAAAAGCCUCAGUGAGGUUGGAUGAUUUUAUAAUCGAGCACCUGACGGAUAUGGCCAAUGGAGCUACGCAGGACCAGUUUGUGCUCCAAUUCCAGUGUAAUCCAGCCACGGAACAGCAAGAGGCAGACUCUGUGCCGGACUGGACACUCUGUGGCUCAGACUCUUCCCGAAAGCAACUACUGAAAGAUUCUACUUUUGUUUUGAUUCUGCCUCCUUUAAACGGAAGAGUGUCAUCUACGCUGAUGCUUGCUAGGAUUUACGAAGCUUUGCGUUCAGGAGCCAUACCAGUGAUCCUAGGAUCUGAUGAGCUUCGCCUACCAUAUGCUGAAACACUAGACUGGAGGCGGACUGCACUUCUCCUUCCUAAAGCUCGAAUCACAGAACUCCACUUCCUGCUACGCGCUGUUCAAGAUGCGGAUUUGCUUUUGCUGCGUCGCCAGGGACGGCUUAUUUGGGAGCGAUACCUCAGCUCGGUGCAGGCCACAGUCGAUACGGUUAUUGCCAGUUUGCGUGAUCGAUUGGGAAUUCCGCCAAGACCAGUUCCAUCAGUGCAGGCGCAGAGUGUUUUUAAUAGCACUUUUACACCAUUAAAAUCAGAUCCACCGGUUGGUAUUGAUACAGAACCAGAAGAGUCUCUGGGCCCUAUCGAGCCACCAUAUCCCAGCCCGGCCUUUCGACGAAAUUACACUAUCCUGCGGAUGCAAGCUAAGGAAGCCUGGAAUGACUGGGUAGACCCAUUUUACCUCUACCCUCAGUUGCCCUUCGACCCGGCUCUGCCUUCCGAAGCUAAGUUCUUGGGCUCUCACACAGGAUUCCGGCCCAUCGGAAAGGGACUUGGCGGCGCAGGUAAAGAAUUUGGAGAAGCAUUGGGCGGAAACUAUCCACGAGAGCAAUUCACGAUCGUGAUGUUAACCUACGAAAGGGAACAGGUGCUAAUGGAUUCAUUGGGCAGGUUGUACGGACUUCCCUAUUUGCACAAAGUUGUCGUGGUUUGGAACUCCCCCAAGCCGCCAUUAGACGAUCUACGUUGGCCGGAUAUCGGAGUGCCGGUAGCUGUUGUGCGAGCUCCUAGAAAUUCCCUGAACAACCGGUUUCUUCCCUUUGAUGUUAUUGAAACGGAGGCAGUGCUUUCCGUAGACGAUGAUGCACAUUUAAGGCACGAUGAGAUUCUCUUCGGAUUCCGCGUAUGGCGUGAGCACCGUGACCGGGUUGUGGGCUUUCCCGGCCGCUAUCAUGCGUGGGAUUUGGGUAAUCCGAACGGCCAGUGGCACUACAACUCCAAUUACAGCUGCGAACUAAGCAUGGUCCUGACGGGCGCUGCCUUUGUACACAAGUACUACCUGUACCUCUACACCUAUCACCUGCCUCAGGCAAUUCGCGAUAAAGUGGAUGAGUACAUGAACUGCGAGGACAUUGCAAUGAACUUUCUUGUGUCGCACAUGACGAGAAAGCCGCCUGUAAAAGUCACAUCCAGGUGGACCUUCCGCUGUCCUGGUUGCCCGGUUUCACUUAGCGAAGACGAUACGCACUUCCAGGAGCGGCAUAAGUGCAUAAACUUUUUCAGCCGCGUGUUUGGCUACACGCCGCUAUUGAACACUCAGUUCCGAGCGGACUCCAUCCUGUUCAAGACGCGCAUACCGCACGAUAAGCAAAAGUGCUUCAAGUACAUCUAGUCGUCCAAGUGAUUCCAUCCCCGUUACUAAUUUUAAUUCCGACAACGGUGACCACUACGACUUACCCUACCGUAGUGGCCAUCAGCUGAAUAUAUUCUAGAGGUACGUGGCAAGAUGCCUGUGCAAUUUUUUUAAAUUUAAUAUUUACUAGUUUGUAUUAAUUCUAAGUAAUGCCAUAAUCAAAUUAUUUAUUUGUUUGACUAUCAUUUUGUGUCUUAUAGUUGUUGUUUAUUAUAUUAAUUUAUUUAAUAGACAAUUUGUAAACCAAAAAAUGCUCUUAAAUAAGAAACAAAAUGUAAAAUUUCAAUAUAUGUAGAUAAGAUUUGAAAUUUGUGAACACCGGAACAUGUCCGUAUUUAUGUAUAUACUAUAGUUUGACCUUAGACCGAACCCGAUAAGCUCACAUAGCACUGCUCGCUAAAGUCUGAUCAGUUAAAUCAUAUUCUUUAAUUCCACCCUCGACUUUUUGCAAUGAAAUUUUUUAAAGUGGAGUUGAAAAUAUAGACUGUAAGCUACACCAAACCAAUUUGCAAUACUUUUAAUCAUGGUUUGUUUUUAGGCUAAGUUUUUUUUCAAUUUUUACUUUGUAUAUAACGCGGAAUAAAAAAGAAUUUUGUAUCGUCAUGAAUUGGAACUUUGAAAUUAUUGUGAUGAGCUCUUUUCCAUAUUUGUCAGUUAAAUUACCUUUAACCAUAUUUCAUUGUGAGCAAUACAUGGCUGGCUCUUGGAUAGAAUGACAGAAGGGUUCUGAGACCGUCCUUUUGAGCACACCUCGCGGCCGAGAAUUAUGCUGCAUCUAGUACCAUGAAGUCCUAGAAAAUGAACAAUUCCGAAGAAGCUCCCAUGGGCCGAUUCCUACAAUGUGAGCUGAAGCGGUGGUCAGUCUAACGCUGAACUUAGACAAUAGAGACGUCCGCACUCUGGUUUAGACCACGGGUAUUUUAUAUUUAUAAGUAUAAAUUAUUUGGAAUGCUGAAUACUCAGUACAGGAUUAAAGACACACAUGCGGUAAACGA
rnacentral:misc_RNA from 1 species